rnacentral:miRNA from 7 species
UGUCAGUGGGCAUGGUGGGGAUGGGUUGGGGUUGGACUUGAUAAUCUUGAAGGUCUUU